rnacentral:rRNA from 1 species
GGAUAACCUACCCUUAGGACCGGGAUAACCCUGGGAAACUGGGGAUAAUACCGGAUAGGCAAUUAUUCCUGUAAUGGUUUUUUGUUUAAAUGUUUUUUCGCCUAAGGAUGGGUCUGCGGCUGAUUAGGUCGUUGGUGGGGUAAUGGCCCACCAAGCCGAUGAUCGGUACGGGUUGUGAGAGCAAGGGCCCGGAGAUGGAACCUGAGACAAGGUUCCAGACCCUACGGGGUGCAGCAGGCGCGAAACCUCCGCAAUGUACGAAAGUGCGACGGGGGGAUCCCAAGUGUUACGCUUUUUUGUAUGACUUUUCAUUAGUGUAAAAAGCUUUUAGAAUAAGAGCUGGGCAAGACCGGUGCCAGCCGCCGCGGUAACACCGGCAGCUCGAGUGGUAGCUGUUUUUAUUGGGCCUAAAGCGUUCGUAGCCGGUUUGAUAAGUCUUUGGUGAAAGCUUGUAGCUUAACUAUAAGAAUUGCUGGAGAUACUAUUAGACUUGAAGUCGGGAGAGGUUAGAGGUACUACCGGGGUAGGGGUGAAAUCCUAUAAUCCUGGGAGGACCACCUGUGGCGAAGGCGUCUAACUGGAACGAUCUUGACGGUGAGUAACGAAAGCCAGGGGCGCGAACCGGAUUAGAUACCCGGGUAGUCCUGGCCGUAAACGAUGUGGACUUGGUGUUGGAAUGGCUUUGAGUUGUUCCGGUGCCGAAGGGAAGCUGUUAAGUCCACCGCCUGGGAAGUACGGUCGCAAGACUGAAACUUAA